UAAGUUAUUAAGGGCGCACGGUGGAUGCCUUGGCACUAGAAGCCGAUGAAGGACGUUACUAACGACGAUAUGCUUUGGGGAGCUGUAAGUAAGCUUUGAUCCAGAGAUUUCCGAAUGGGGAAACCCAGCAUGAGUUAUGUCAUGUUAUCGAUAUGUGAAUACAUAGCAUAUCAGAAGGCACACCCGGAGAACUGAAACAUCUUAGUACCCGGAGGAAGAGAAAGAAAAUUCGAUUCCCUUAGUAGCGGCGAGCGAAAUGGGAAGAGCCCAAACCAACAAGCUUGCUUGUUGGGGUUGUAGGACACUCUAUACGGAGUUACAAAGGACGACAUUAGACGAAUCAUCUGGAAAGAUGAAUCAAAGAAGGUAAUAAUCCUGUAGUCGAAAAUGUUGUCUCUCUUGAGUGGAUCCUGAGUACGACGGAGCACGUGAAAUUCCGUCGGAAUCUGGGAGGACCAUCUCCUAAGGCUAAAUACUCUCUAGUGACCGAUAGUGAACCAGUACCGUGAGGGAAAGGUGAAAAGCACCCCGGAAGGGGAGUGAAAUAGAACCUGAAACCGUGUGCUUACAAGUAGUCAGAGCCCGUUAAUGGGUGAUGGCGUGCCUUUUGUAGAAUGAACCGGCGAGUUACGAUUUGAUGCAAGGUUAAGCAGUAAAUGUGGAGCCGUAGCGAAAGCGAGUCUGAAUAGGGCGUUUAGUAUUUGGUCGUAGACCCGAAACCAGGUGAUCUACCCUUGGUCAGGUUGAAGUUCAGGUAACACUGAAUGGAGGACCGAACCGACUUACGUUGAAAAGUGAGCGGAUGAACUGAGGGUAGCGGAGAAAUUCCAAUCGAACCUGGAGAUAGCUGGUUCUCUCCGAAAUAGCUUUAGGGCUAGCCUCAAGUGAUGAUUAUUGGAGGUAGAGCACUGUUUGGACGAGGGGCCCCUCUCGGGUUACCGAAUUCAGACAAACUCCGAAUGCCAAUUAAUUUAACUUGGGAGUCAGAACAUGGGUGAUAAGGUCCGUGUUCGAAAGGGAAACAGCCCAGACCACCAGCUAAGGUCCCAAAAUAUAUGUUAAGUGGAAAAGGAUGUGGCGUUGCCCAGACAACUAGGAUGUUGGCUUAGAAGCAGCCAUCAUUUAAAGAGUGCGUAAUAGCUCACUAGUCGAGUGACACUGCGCCGAAAAUGUACCGGGGCUAAACAUAUUACCGAAGCUGUGGAUUGUCCUUUGGACAAUGGUAGGAGAGCGUUCUAAGGGCGUUGAAGCAUGAUCGUAAGGACAUGUGGAGCGCUUAGAAGUGAGAAUGCCGGUGUGAGUAGCGAAAGACGGGUGAGAAUCCCGUCCACCGAUUGACUAAGGUUUCCAGAGGAAGGCUCGUCCGCUCUGGGUUAGUCGGGUCCUAAGCUGAGGCCGACAGGCGUAGGCGAUGGAUAACAGGUUGAUAUUCCUGUACCACCUAUAAUCGUUUUAAUCGAUGGGGGGACGCAGUAGGAUAGGCGAAGCGUGCGAUUGGAUUGCACGUCUAAGCAGUAAGGCUGAGUAUUAGGCAAAUCCGGUACUCGUUAAGGCUGAGCUGUGAUGGGGAGAAGACAUUGUGUCUUCGAGUCGUUGAUUUCACACUGCCGAGAAAAGCCUCUAGAUAGAAAAUAGGUGCCCGUACCGCAAACCGACACAGGUAGUCAAGAUGAGAAUUCUAAGGUGAGCGAGCGAACUCUCGUUAAGGAACUCGGCAAAAUGACCCCGUAACUUCGGGAGAAGGGGUGCUCUUUAGGGUUAACGCCCAGAAGAGCCGCAGUGAAUAGGCCCAAGCGACUGUUUAUCAAAAACACAGGUCUCUGCUAAACCGUAAGGUGAUGUAUAGGGGCUGACGCCUGCCCGGUGCUGGAAGGUUAAGAGGAGUGGUUAGCUUCUGCGAAGCUACGAAUCGAAGCCCCAGUAAACGGCGGCCGUAACUAUAACGGUCCUAAGGUAGCGAAAUUCCUUGUCGGGUAAGUUCCGACCCGCACGAAAGGCGUAACGAUUUGGGCACUGUCUCAACGAGAGACUCGGUGAAAUCAUAGUACCUGUGAAGAUGCAGGUUACCCGCGACAGGACGGAAAGACCCCGUGGAGCUUUACUGUAGCCUGAUAUUGAAAUUCGGCACAGCUUGUACAGGAUAGGUAGGAGCCUUUGAAACGUGAGCGCUAGCUUACGUGGAGGCGCUGGUGGGAUACUACCCUAGCUGUGUUGGCUUUCUAACCCGCACCACUUAUCGUGGUGGGAGACAGUGUCAGGCGGGCAGUUUGACUGGGGCGGUCGCCUCCUAAAAGGUAACGGAGGCGCUCAAAGGUUCCCUCAGAAUGGUUGGAAAUCAUUCAUAGAGUGUAAAGGCAUAAGGGAGCUUGACUGCGAGACCUACAAGUCGAGCAGGGUCGAAAGACGGACUUAGUGAUCCGGUGGUUCCGCAUGGAAGGGCCAUCGCUCAACGGAUAAAAGCUACCCCGGGGAUAACAGGCUUAUCUCCCCCAAGAGUUCACAUCGACGGGGAGGUUUGGCACCUCGAUGUCGGCUCAUCGCAUCCUGGGGCUGUAGUCGGUCCCAAGGGUUGGGCUGUUCGCCCAUUAAAGCGGUACGCGAGCUGGGUUCAGAACGUCGUGAGACAGUUCGGUCCCUAUCCGUCGUGGGCGUAGGAAAUUUGAGAGGAGCUGUCCUUAGUACGAGAGGACCGGGAUGGACAUACCUCUGGUGUACCAGUUGUCGUGCCAACGGCAUAGCUGGGUAGCUAUGUGUGGACGGGAUAAGUGCUGAAAGCAUCUAAGCAUGAAGCCCCCCUCAAGAUGAGAUUUCCCAACUUCGGUUAUAAGAUCCCUCAAAGAUGAUGAGGUUAAUAGGUUCGAGGUGGAAGCAUGGUGACAUGUGGAGCUGACGAAUACUAAUCGAUCGAAGACUUAAUCA
rnacentral:rRNA from 1 species